rnacentral:lncRNA from 1 species
ACAAAGCCAGACCCCCAGGCGUGGGAAGAUGGAACCAGAACAAUUCGAACGAGCAGAGCAAAACAGAUCGGAAUUGCAGACUUCAGGUCGUGGCAGAGAAAACCAGCUGAGACAGGGCGCCACUUACUAGCUCUGAAAGUCUAGGAUAUUUUGCCACUGGAAGACCAGCAGACAAUGUCAUGACAACUCAAGAGGAUACAACAGGGCUGCAUCAAAAGACAAGUCUUUGGACCAUGUCAAGACCUGGAGCGAAGAAGGUUUCAGUAUCAACCUGACUUCUUUUGGAAGGAUCCCUUGGCCUCACGCUGGAGUGGGCACCUGCCCUAGCCCACAGAGCUGGAUUUCUCCCUUUCUUCAAUCACACAGGGAGCACCACUAUGCAAAGACCUCAUCACAUUCACAGCCGUCUCCGCAGAGCCUCGCACUGUGCUUGGCAUAUAGCAGGUGCUCAAUAAAUAUCUGCCAAAUGACUGAAUGCAUCUCGCUAGCCUCAGGAUGCCACCAGGCCCUGAGGGAGCCAGGAAGAUCAGAGGAAAGCUUUUGGAUUCCUGCCACACCUUACAUUAGCAACAUCUUCUCCGAGUCCUGACAGCCAGCCUCCUGGGACACCAUUCAAGCCAGCUGAAUUCCGGUCACCGCUUCACCUUGGAAAGGCAUCCGCAGCCCUCACCAAGCGGCCCCGUAAUUGACGUCACAGCGGGGCCAGGAGCUGCCCUGUUAAUAUUUAAUGUGGCCUUCACUGCGCAAAAUGCAGCCUCUAAGAGCUGGAGGGGCCGUGCAGAGUCUCCAUGGGGUUGUGAGGAGGGCACAGAAGGGAAAGGGCUUUAUAAACCAUAAAGCGCCCAACAGAUGAGCAUUCUGCCGACCCAUUUCAGUCCCUGGCUUAACUCAGAAAGAGCCGGGGCUGCACAUGCCUGCAGUGGGACAAGAAGACUGCUGACCAAGCCCGAACACUAAAUCAAUGGGGGAUUAGGGGCUCCUGGGUACAUUCCAUUGAGACAGCGGGAGAGCAGAGCACUGGUGCCAGCCCAACCUGGACUCCACUCCAGGUUUGCCCCCUGCACAGCUGUGUGACUGGGUCAGCAAGUGCACUGCUGAGCCUCAGUCCCCCUUAUCUGUGAAAUGGGAAUGAUGCUUUCCUUGUAGCACUGCUGUGAAGAUUCAAUGAAACGAGUGAUGCCGAAGA